GUGGCUGGUGAUGGCGUGCCUUUUGAAGAAUGAGCCUGCGAGUUAGUGGCAUGUCGCGAGGUUAACCCGUGUGGGGUAGCCGUAGCGAAAGCGAGUCCGAAUAGGGCGUAUCACCGUUUGGUGUGUAGUGGCGUGUUCUAGACCCGAAGCGGAGUGAUCUACCCAUGGCCAGGUUGAAGCGACGGUAAGACGUCGUGGAGGACCGAACCCACUUAGGUUGAAAACUGAGGGGAUGAGUUGUGGGUAGGGGUGAAAGGCCAAUCAAACUCCGUGAUAGCUGGUUCUCCCCGAAAUGCAUUUAGGUGCAGCGUCACGUGUUUCUCAUCGGAGGUAGAGCUACUGGAUGGUCUAGGGGGCUUACCGGCUUACCGAAAUCAGCCAAACUCCGAAUGCCGGUGAGUGAGAGCGUGGCAGUGAGACUGCGGGCGAUAAGGUUCGUAGUCGAGAGGGAAACAGCCCAGAUCGCCAGCUAAGGUCCCUAAGCGUGUACUAAGUGGAAAAGGAUGUGGGGUCGCGAAGACAACCAGGAGGUUGGCUUAGAAGCAGCCACCCUUGAAAGAGUGCGUAAUAGCUCACUGGUCAAGUGAUCCUGCGCCGACAAUGUAGCGGGGCUCAAGUACACCACCGAAGCUGCGGCACUCACACAACAGCCCGCAUCGUUCCUACGGGGAUGGUGCCAGGUGUGUGGGUGGGUAGGGGAGCGUCGUGCAGCCGUGGAAGCAUCGGGGUGACCUAGGUGUGGAGGCUGUGCGAGUGAGAAUGCAGGCAUGAGUAGCGAAAGACGAGUGAGAAACUCGUCCGCCGAAUGACCAAGGGUUCCUGGGCCAGGUUAAUCCGCCCAGGGUGAGUCGGGACCUAAGACGAGGCCGACAGGCGUAGCCGAUGGACAACGGGUUGAUAUUCCCGUACCCGUGUGAACGCGCCCCUGGUGAAUCAGUGAUACUAACCGCCCUGAAUCCCGGUGAUGGAUCUCUUUCGAGAGUGAUGCGCUGGGUGGAUGCGUGGGACCUGAUCUGGUAGUAGCCAAGCGAUGGGGUGACGCAGGAAGGUAGCUGAGCCAGUCAGUGGUAAUACUGGUGUAAGCCUGUAGGGCGAGACAUAGGCAAAUCCGUGUCUCAUACAGCCUGAGAGGUGAUGCGUAGCCGAUUGAGGCGAAUUCAGUGAUCCUAUGCUGCCGAGAAAAGCCUCUAGCGAGCUUUCACACGGCCCGUACCCCAAACCGACACAGGUGGUCAGGUAGAGAAUACUGAGGCGAUCGAGAUAACUAUGGUUAAGGAACUCGGCAAAAUGCCCCCGUAACUUCGGGAGAAGGGGGACCUCGUCCGGUGAUCAUCCUUGCGGUGUGAGCUGGGUGGGGUCGCAGAGACCAGUGAGAAGCGACUGUUUACUAAAAACACAGGUCCGUGCGAAGUCGUAAGACGAUGUAUACGGACUGACGCCUGCCCGGUGCUGGAAGGUUAAGAGGACCGGUCAACUGCACUUGUGUGGUGAAGCUGAGAAUUUAAGCCCCAGUAAACGGCGGUGGUAACUAUAACCAUCCUAAGGUAGCGAAAUUCCUUGUCGGGUAAGUUCCGACCUGCACGAAUGGCGUAACGACUUCUCAGCUGUCUCAACCAUAGACUCGGCGAAAUUGCAUUACGAGUAAAGAUGCUCGUUACGCGCGGCAGGACGAAAAGACCCCGGGACCUUCACUAUAGCUUGGUAUUGGUGUUCGGUUCGGUUUGUGUAGGAUAGGUGGGAGACUGUGAAGCGGUGACGCCAGUUACUGUGGAGUCGUUGUUGAAAUACCACUCUGAUCGUAUUGGAUACCUCAACCUCGGACCAUGAUCUGGUUCAGGGACAGUGCCUGGUGGGUAGUUUAACUGGGGCGGUUGCCUCCCAAAAUGUAACGGAGGCGCCCAAAGGUUCCCUCAGCCUGGUUGGCAAUCAGGUGUCGAGUGCAAGUGCACAAGGGAGCUUGACUGUGAGACUGACAGGUCGAGCAGGGACGAAAGUCGGGACUAGUGAUCCGGCACCGGCAUGUGGAAGCGGUGUCGCUCAACGGAUAAAAGGUACCCCGGGGAUAACAGGCUGAUCUUCCCCAAGAGUCCAUAUCGACGGGAUGGUUUGGCACCUCGAUGUCGGCUCGUCGCAUCCUGGGGCUGGAGUAGGUCCCAAGGGUUGGGCUGUUCGCCCAUUAAAGCGGCACGCGAGCUGGGUUUAGAACGUCGUGAGACAGUUCGGUCUCUAUCCGCCGCGCGCGUCAGAAACUUGAGGAAGGCUGUCCCUAGUACGAGAGGACCGGGACGGACGAACCUCUGGUGUGCCAGUUGUUCCACCAGGAGCACCGCUGGUUAGCUACGUUCGGAAGGGAUAACCGCUGAAAGCAUCUAAGCGGGAAGCCUGUUCCAAGAUGAGGUUUCUCACCCCCUUUGUGGGGGUAAGGCCCCCGGCAGACCACCGGGUUGAUAGGCCAGAACUGGAAGUGCAGUAAUGCAUGCAGGUGACUGGUACUAAUAGGCCGAGGACUUACCACA
rnacentral:rRNA from 1 species